ACGAUAACGGCGUCGAGCGGCGGACGGGUGAGUAAUGCCUAGGAAAUUGCCCUGAUGUGGGGGAUAACCAUUGGAAACGAUGGCUAAUACCGCAUAAUGCCUACGGGCCAAAGAGGGGGACCUUCGGGCCUCUCGCGUCAGGAUAUGCCUAGGUGGGAUUAGCUAGUUGGUGAGGUAAUGGCUCACCAAGGCGACGAUCCCUAGCUGGUCUGAGAGGAUGAUCAGCCACACUGGAACUGAGACACGGUCCAGACUCCUACGGGAGGCAGCAGUGGGGAAUAUUGCACAAUGGGCGCAAGCCUGAUGCAGCCAUGCCGCGUGUGUGAAGAAGGCCUUCGGGUUGUAAAGCACUUUCAGUCGUGAGGAAGGUGGUAGUGUUAAUAGCACUAUCAUUUGACGUUAGCGACAGAAGAAGCACCGGCUAACUCCGUGCCAGCAGCCGCGGUAAUACGGAGGGUGCGAGCGUUAAUCGGAAUUACUGGGCGUAAAGCGCAUGCAGGUGGUUUGUUAAGUCAGAUGUGAAAGCCCGGGGCUCAACCUCGGAAUAGCAUUUGAAACUGGCAGACUAGAGUACUGUAGAGGGGGGUAGAAUUUCAGGUGUAGCGGUGAAAUGCGUAGAGAUCUGAAGGAAUACCGGUGGCGAAGGCGGCCCCCUGGACAGAUACUGACACUCAGAUGCGAAAGCGUGGGGAGCAAACAGGAUUAGAUACCCUGGUAGUCCACGCCGUAAACGAUGUCUACUUGGAGGUUGUGGCCUUGAGCCGUGGCUUUCGGAGCUAACGCGUUAAGUAGACCGCCUGGGGAGUACGGUCGCAAGAUUAAAACUCAAAUGAAUUGACGGGGGCCCGCACAAGCGGUGGAGCAUGUGGUUUAAUUCGAUGCAACGCGAAGAACCUUACCUACUCUUGACAUCCAGAGAACUUUCCAGAGAUGGAUUGGUGCCUUCGGGAACUCUGAGACAGGUGCUGCAUGGCUGUCGUCAGCUCGUGUUGUGAAAUGUUGGGUUAAGUCCCGCAACGAGCGCAACCCUUAUCCUUGUUUGCCAGCGAGUAAUGUCGGGAACUCCAGGGAGACUGCCGGUGAUAAACCGGAGGAAGGUGGGGACGACGUCAAGUCAUCAUGGCCCUUACGAGUAGGGCUACACACGUGCUACAAUGGCGCAUACAGAGGGCAGCAAGCUAGCGAUAGUGAGCGAAUCCCAAAAAGUGCGUCGUAGUCCGGAUUGGAGUCUGCAACUCGACUCCAUGAAGUCGGAAUCGCUAGUAAUCGUGGAUCAGAAUGCCACGGUGAAUACGUUCCCGGGCCUUGUACACACCGCCCGUCACACCAUGGGAGUGGGCUGCAAAAGAAGUAGGUAGUUUAAC
rnacentral:rRNA from 1 species